GGACAGGUGGCGGAGUGGUCGAUCGCGCACGCUUGGAAAGCGUGUGUACGUGCAAGCGUACCGAGGGUUCGAAUCCCUCUCUGUCCGCCA
rnacentral:tRNA from 3 species